UACAGAGGGUGUGAGCGUUGUUCGGAAUUAUUGGGCGUAAAGCGCGUGUAGGCGGUUAGGUGUGUCAGAUGUGAAAUCCCCAGGCUCAACCUGGGAACUGCAUCUGAAACUGCUUAACUGGAGUACGGGAGAGGAGAGUGGAAUUCCUAGUGUAGAGGUGAAAUUCGUAGAUACUAGGAGGAACACCGGAUGCGAAGGCGGCUCUCUGGACCGAUACUGACGCUGAGACGCGAAAGCGUGGGGAUCAAACAGG
rnacentral:rRNA from 1 species